CUACAGGCUUAACACAUGCAAGUCGAGGGGCAGCAUUCCAGUUUGCUUGCAAACUGGAGAUGGCGACCGGCGCACGGGUGAGUAACACGUAUCCAACCUGCCGAUAACUCGGGGAUAGCCUUUCGAAAGAAAGAUUAAUACCCGAUGGCAUAAUAGAACCGCAUGGUUUGAUUAUUAAAGAAUUUCGGUUAUCGAUGGGGAUGCGUUCCAUUAGGCAGUUGGUGGGGUAACGGCCCACCAAACCUUCGAUGGAUAGGGGUUCUGAGAGGAAGGUCCCCCACAUUGGAACUGAGACACGGUCCAAACUCCUACGGGAGGCAGCAGUGAGGAAUAUUGGUCAAUGGACGAGAGUCUGAACCAGCCAAGUAGCGUGAAGGAUGACUGCCCUAUGGGUUGUAAACUUCUUUUAUAUGGGAAUAAAGUGGUCCACGUGUGGAUUUUUGUAUGUACCAUAUGAAUAAGGAUCGGCUAACUCCGUGCCAGCAGCCGCGGUAAUACGGAGGAUCCGAGCGUUAUCCGGAUUUAUUGGGUUUAAAGGGAGCGUAGGUGGACAGUUAAGUCAGUUGUGAAAGUUUGCGGCUCAACCGUAAAAUUGCAGUUGAUACUGGCUGUCUUGAGUACAGUAGAGGUGGGCGGAAUUCGUGGUGUAGCGGUGAAAUGCUUAGAUAUCACGAAGAACUCCGAUUGCGAAGGC
rnacentral:rRNA from 1 species